GACCUGGCGAAGAUCUUUCUCACCAUUAGAAAAAUACAAGUAGACUCAGAGUCACAUACAGUACAUAGAUAACACCCUGGCUGGAUAAUAUUUGACGGAGGACAGUCCCGACGCCAAGACAGGACCCCGCGGCAAGAUGGCAGCCGUAGCCGAGCCCCUGACCCUCCAGCAAGAUGUCAAGAGAGCAGUUGAAUUACUUGACAAAUUACAGAAGACUGGAGAAAUACCUUCAGCCAAGCUAGCAGCCCUUCAGCGAGUGCUUCAGUCCGAGUUUCUGACAGCAGUGCGGGAAGUGUAUGAGCAUGUCUAUGAGACCGUUGACAUCUCUGGCUCCCCAGAGAUUCGUGCCUCAGCCACUGCCAAGGCUACUGUAGCUGCCUUUGCUGCAAGCGAGGGGCAUGCACACCCCAGGGUUGUAGAGCUGCCCAAGACUGAUGAAGGCCUUGGCUUCAAUGUGAUGGGAGGACGGGAACAGAACUCUCCCAUUUACAUUUCCCGCAUCAUCCCUGGAGGAGUGGCAGACAGACACGGAGGCCUGAAAAGAGGGGACCAGCUGCUGUCAGUUAAUGGAGUGAGUGUGGAGGGCGAGAACCAUGAACGGGCUGUGGAGCUGCUGAAGGCUGCCAGUGGCUCAGUAAAGCUGGUGGUGCGUUACACUCCUCGCGUGCUGGAGGAGAUGGAGAUGCGGUUCGACAAGCAGCGGGCGUCACGUAGGCGAACUUCCCAGUUAGAGUAGAGAGCCCUAGUGGAGGACUGGCGUGGCUGGUGCUGCUCUGUGCCAGUGAUGGGGGACAGCCAGCCAGGUGGUGGGCAGUGGAACUGAACGCUGAUGGCAGCAGCAGCAGCAGAGUUUUAAGAUCACCAUCACACAACAGUGAGACUCCCUGGAAGACUUCAGAUUAGUAUUCAUCUGCACUGAUAGAGACAGUUAUGGGAAUAGGAAUUUGGUACUAGGGCCUCACAGGGCAACAAAUGCAUUGGCACCCUUAGCCUCCAUGGACCACCAUCACCUAUGUGCCCUUCCUCAUAGAAAAUUAAUUCCUAAUAUUACAUAAUAUUAUAAUUGUGCAAGUCUGAGGCUUCUGAAGAUGACAAAGAUUUUGUGAUGCUAAAGGAAGAGUUCCCAUGAAGCUACAAAGAAUGCUGCAAGAUUAUUAUGAAAUUAUAAUUUGUUGUUUCACAACAUAGACAGGCGAAGAACAGCUCAGUAUUAGUCCAAGACAUCUCAAAAGAGACUUGCCAGUAAUGUGGUGGCACUUAGUCCAUUUGUGAGCUGUCUCCAGUAAGGUGUCUUGACUCAAUAUCAAACUGUCACGUUUUUAGCCUGUCUCUGUAAUAUACAACAUUUUAACUAACAUGCAUCUAUCUUGUAAUGUUUAAGCCCUUGUAAAACAUGUAAGAGAAAUGAUUGGUUGCAAAAUGAAAUUUUUCUUAAAUUUAUGCUCAGAAACUGUAUACUUUCCAUUGCACCAGUAUUUUAUAAGUGUUUGUCUCUGUCAUUUAGUAAGUGUCAUGUGUUUUUUGUGAGGCCAUGUUCUUGUGAGUAGAAAGCACUUUUAAUAUUGAAAUGUAUUAUCCGUUCCCUUCCCCAACCUUGCUGUUUCCUCUACUCCUUCCUUGAAGAGGUCAUCCAGGCAUCAAGAAAUAUGCAGACAAUGGAGUCUUCUGUCAAAGUUUUGUUGUAAUGCUGGUAGAGAUAUUUCAUUUGUUUGUCAUUCUGUAAGUAUCCUAGUGAUCAUUUAAUAGUUUAACAUUAUAGACCAUUGCUGAUACGAGCAUCAGUUUAUAACAUGUAACUUUUAACACUAGGAUAAAAAUAAUUCAAAUCAGUUCACCCUCAAAUAUCAUUUCAUUUUUUAAGUGUUUGAUUCUGUUGAUCCAGCAUGACCCAAUAGCAGGAUGUGAUGCUAUGUAGAGUGCUGUGUUGGGCAUGAUUUGGGUGUAGAACACGCUACCAUUGGCUGUGACAUGCUGCCAGAUUGUGGCUUUAAUAUGUACAAUCCACCUCAGCAUAACUGUAGGUUAUACACACAGUACAAGGUUAACCACUUUGCUUAUUUUGACGUGUGAUAUUUAUUUUGUAGACCAGGCCAGCAGGGCUUCUGUCUCAACUAAGUUUUCAAGUUAUAUUUUUAUUUACUUGCUCUGGUGCCAUUGCAAAGUAACUACCCCAGAACCUCAUAUGAUCUGGUACAGAAUCUGUUCUCAUUGUUUAUAACUCAUUUUAGUCACUGCUUAGUAAGUCAUUCAAAGACAAACCUCAAAAAUAAUAAUAUUCAGUAAAUUAUUGUUCGUGAUAUUGAACAUUUCUGUAAUGAUUGAAAGACUAGAUUCACCCUCCAUACCAACUUUAAACUGAUUUUAGGUGUACUUAAUAUCUAUAUCGCAUGCCUUACUCAUGUUCAGGUCACGGCUGAGUCACUGCAGCCUGUUAGAUGUUGGAGGAUAGAGGCUCUGGCUUACAAUGAACAAUUGGCCUUUUAUGUUAGUUACAUAACAUGAUGUAAGAAUUUAUAUAUCCUCUGAUUAUAAGCAACAUGAAAAACAUUGUAAAUUAUUAUAGUAAACCAUGAAUGAGUCACUUUUGUUAGAAGUGUUGAUUUCAUGCAGUCUGUAAGAAGAUGCAGUAUUUUAACAAGGAACUGCUAGAAUGACAGACGGAGCUUUAUGUAAUUUAAUAGUUACACAGCAGUUCUAGUGCAAGUGACCUAGAGGAACUGUGAAGUAAUUAUAUUGACCUGAUAGUCUCUGCAACAGAGUAGCCCUGGGUUGUAAUGCUGACUUGUAACUAGGUCAUGAGUGUAUGUUGACGGCACUCCAGCUUCCUGGUGAUAGAGGUUUUGUUCUUAAGCUGUAUACUUGAUUUCAAUUACCAUUUUGGUUUAUUUUAUGUAUAUUUAUUUUUUAUUGUAUAUAUAUUUUUUGUUAAGGCACUUUCUUUUUCCUGAAAAGUGUAAGAUAAUUAAUCCAUUGCAUGAGCCAUGAACUGCACUGCUCCACUGGCUUUUGUGGGGUUGCAUACUUCAGCCUAUUGUUUACUUUCAUUGUCUUAAGAUAUUACAAAAUAUAGAGCAGGUUCCUCCAGCUCCAAUAUGUGGGUUAUAAUCAGUUAUUUUGAUAUGUAAAUGCUGUCUCCUUUGUGGCAGUUUUAUUUUUCACAGCUAAAACCUAGAAAGUAAAAAUAGUUAUUUAUUCCAAGAAACUUGCUGAAGUUUGUUCAUACCAGUAUGAUCCAGACUUGACUAGUCUUGACAGUGUUCACAGUCCAUAAAGAUUUUUAAAAACUAUUUUAUAUAUAUAUAUAGAUAUAUAUAUAUAUAUAUAUAUAUAUAUAUAUAUAUAUAUAUAUAUAUAUAUAUAUAUAUAUAUAUAUAUAUAUAUAUAUAUAUAUAUAUAUAUAUAUAUAUAUAUAUAUAUUAAAUAUAUUUAUUUAUAUUUUAAGUUAGCCUUUAAUUUACUUGAGCCCUUUUUUUUUUUUUUAUUAUUAUUUUUUUUUUUUUAAGUAUGCAUUUUAUAGUCUACUGACAUUUGUUGACUACCAACACUGUGUUUGUCAUGUUCAGUAGUAUGAAGUUAAAGUUUUUGUAUUCUAAACCAGACAUUCAGCUUACUGCAAUCCCACAAGAACAUUGAACAUUAUCAAAGUUUUUGACAGCAACUCUUACAUUAUUGUUUGUAUGUACUUCAUUAUCAUUAUUUUUUUUUUCUCUCUUAGUUCACUUUUCAUUGUUCAUUUGAGUUCAUAGUAAAUUGUGGUUCACCUCCAUAUAAUUUACGUUGGGCUUCAUAAUUUCAGUUCGGAGAUUUUUCACCCUCAAAACUGUUUAUCAAUACUCAGAAGGUGGUGAGUCACUGCAUUUUAGUAGGGACCAUGAACAGCGAGGGACUUGUUUGUACCAAGAAGUGAAGGUGAAACUGACCUUACCUAAUAACUAUGUAUUAGUAAGUACUAAUUUAGUGUAAUUUUGCUUAUAAUGCAGUGAGCAAUUAUUUUUUGUCAAUUUUUCAGAGUUCAGUUGAGGAAGUUGUUCAUGUUGGGUGGCUGGAGGCCUUGUGAUUGGUGUAGUGAGCUAUGGUCAGUGCUGGAGGCUUUGUCCCUUACCUCUUGUGACUAAAUCAUCAUCAUUGUGUAACAAACACUGUAGCCAAUGGUUGAGUAGCGCAUUUACACAUUAUACAAUAUUUAUAUAAAUAUAAUGUAGCAACAUACCCUAUUAACAUGUAUGUUUUUCCAAUGUAAACUUUUCCUGUUGAA